CAUAAAUUCUAGCAUAAAUAACCUUUCUUGCCUCCUUAGCAAAGAACCAAACCUUUCCUGCUGAGGCAAAUGUGCAUGAGAAAAUCAACCUUGCUCACAGGCCACUCAGUAGCCCUGCCGUGUGUCCAAAAGGUGAAGUUUUAUUUGAAUGAGGCUGAUCCAGUUUGCCCCCUAAGGGCCAGUGUUCAUACUUGAGAUUUAUAAAAUGGACUCCAGCUUUGGGGGAAAAUGGACAAACCAUUUAUGUUUUGAUGUUUGCAUCUAUGAGCUUGACAGGAAUGGAAUUUUCACUAUUGGAUGUUCUUUUGUUGUGCAUGUCACCUGCUUGGACUAUGGGCCUUGGUAACGGGUGAGUGACAGAAGAGAUAGAAGAAGAAGAUCAAGAAAUACCAGAAAAGAGGAAAUGCAGUUGGACGCGAAGCUUAUGGGAAGAAGGCUUAGAAAUGGAGGGGCUAUGCAGAGGGGGACCAACCCAAACAUUUGGUAAAUUUCUGCCUGAGUCUGUUUGGAGGCUUAUUAUGGAUGAAAGAUACAUGCUUCACAACCUCAUCACUGCUGGACCUGGGUGAAGCAGGCAUGUCUUGAAAAGUCCUGAUUGUCACCUCACUAUGGCAUUGACCGUGUCUGCCACGGAACCUCUUUGAAUGGCCAGGGUCCCCAAAGGAAGGAUUUUUUAUAACCUUACCCUUCUUGGGAACAAUGGGGGAAGAUCAGUAAGGCUCCCUGGUGGAACUGGACAUGAGAAUUAGGCUGAUACACGGUGGCCUAGACUUUGCACCUAGUAAGACAUUAUACCCACAGGAUAAUUAGGGGAUCUGUGGCAAGCCUGUGAUCUUCUGAAGUUCCAAGUGGAGGCAUGGAGUGCCCCUGAUGGCAGAAUUUCAUGGAGAAUGUCAUUGAUGUUUGUACACCAAACUCAAAACCUAGCAGGUAGUCUGGGUGUGAUAAGACAGAGAAAAAAGAUGGUGCCUUGAUCAUCUAUGAUCUUCUGGCCUUCUCACAGACCCCAGAGCCACAAAUGAGCAAAGCCACUUCAUUUUGCCUUCCACUGACCAGUCCUCUCUGCUAUUGCUCUUCAAAGAUGCUGGGAAUCUUCUGUCUGGUAAAAAAAAAAAAAAAAAAAGGUGGAUGGUACAUAUGCUUCUGAUUUGGAUUCUCAUAAUAACAUUCCCUAAGAUUUCCAAAAGGCCAACACCUUGAAAAAGCAUAUUAAAUGGCUUAGUGUUUGUUUUUCGAAUGUUUUAAAUGCUGCAUGCAACUUUGUGUGGUUCUGGGUAUGCAUUUAGCAUUUAGUUAGAAGUCAGUGCAGUGAGUUUUUCCCACUUUAUUUUCUACAAAAUGGUUUAGAAGUGGACAGCUGUGUCUGUGGAGCUGGGGUGACUUUCCAAAAGGGAACAUACAGCCAAGGUUUUCUUUCUUCUUGAGCACCAGGGCGAAGGUUGGCCUUACACCUAUAAGUUGUGACAAGUCCAUUUCUGGCUGUGACAAGUCCCAGAAUAUCAUUUCCUCUUGUAGUUCGUGAUUUUAUCACCCCUCAGCUGGAGUCACUCAUUCUAUUACCGUCUUAGAUUUCAGUUUCCAUAAUGCGCCCAUCUGAUUUCAGCAUUACUUUUCUUGUUCCUGGGAAGAAAACGCCAAAUUAUUUGUUUAACCCCUUGAGUCAUCAGUUCAUCAAUAGGCCGGGCUCUGUACUUCAGGGUAGCUCAACAAACAGUUUUACCACUGACCACAGAGGUGGAUAGAAUAAUCCUUUUCUGCAAAGAGCACAGGGGAUGAUCCAAGUCAGGGCAUAUGGGGAAUGAUUUCCAUUGCCAUCUGCAUUUUGCAGAGGCUCCUGUAACCACCAGACCGCUAGGUCCUCUCGUUCACCCUAUCAGUUCCAAAUAGAGUGGACUUCACACACACACAAAUAUGUAUCUACUUGAACAAAGACAUGGUUUAUGCUCUUCUCUUCACAUCCUUGGAUCAUAGGCAUUAAAAUAUUCUUCUUUUCUGCCUAAGAUCUUUUACUUUAAAAUUUUAAAAAGCUCACAUUGUGUCAGCAUGGUCUUCUUAUGUCUGUUCACUACUGUUGUUGUUGUUUAAGAAGUAAACAGAAAACUUCCUCCCCACCCAGUUCGAUCUCCUUGCUUUGUUAAAUGGGUGUUAUUACCCUUUUCACUAGGGGUCAUUUAAAUUAAUCCUCAAAGGUUUGGAUUAAAAUUAACUAAUAUAUAUGUUAAAAGUCAUGUCUAUAUACAGAUCUGUUUGACUAUUUUGACCAAACAUGAAACUACAAGUAAAUGGAAUGAAGGUUUGGGACUCUCUUACCAACCAGUUAUUUGGGGAUGUGUAUCUUAUUAAAUGAUUUGGGUGAAACCUGUACUUUUCUGCCAGGUAUUUUAUGUUCCAUAUAUAAAUGAACAAGCUAUAAGACUAAUAAGGAAAUUCAACUGAAAAUAAUUAUACAUUUUUUUUCAGUGACUGAGAACCAUGGUAUUGUGGAAAGUUUUUGUUGUACUUAGUUCUUCUCAUUUGUGUGUGUGUGUGUGUGUGUGUGUGUGUGUUUCUGAAGGCCUAACUCUGAUGGAUAUUCUAUUCAUGAGUACUCCACAUGUUGUUAAUUGAGUCCUUUGAAAUUCCUUCUCAUUUUGUGACAAUUCUGACUUCUACUGGUGGUGGCUGACAUUGUGAGAAGAAUAAGUUGUACAUAUAGUCUUUAGAUUGUACCUGCGUGCAUUCUAACCUGCCAAAUUAUGAAAGAACAAGAGGAAACCACAGCGAGGAGAGAAGAUUAUUGGAAAGUUUUUGCCUCCAGCUACCUCUGCAGAGUGUCACCCAGGUGCCUUUCUGACAUGGGGUUUUAAGUGAUGCUUCAUUUGUCAGUGUGGAUAUCUUCAGAAUGAGCAUCCUCUCAGAAUUCCUGGAAGAACAGCAUCUUUUUUACUUACUGUUUCCUUGGGAGGUUCUAGAAGAUAGGAUGGGAGACCAUGCUGAUUUGGAAUGGAAAAGAGGCCAGUAUUUAUUAUAUCAACACCUGAGGAUUCAACCUAUAGGCUGCCUGCUGUAACCUCAGGAGGCUGAGCAACUGUGUAUUUAAUAAUAUCGAGGACUUUGUGACUUACAAAAAACCAGUGGAAAGCAAGGUCUGGAAUCAAUGUGCAUCCACCCUUCCCUGGUUUAUAAGACUCUAGGGAGACAGAUUUGUGCUUUGUCAUUUCUGAAUCAUGCAGGAUGCUUAAUAGUGAAACAAUGGCGCUACUUGUAAACUCAGCAGCUAAUAAUUACUGAGUGUUUGCUCUAAACCAAGCAAUACACUAAGCACUUCAUAAACAUUACCUUAUUUAACCUUGAUUAUGAUUCUACAGUGUUAUAAUGAGUAUUCUCACCUUAUUGACAAAAGAAUGUAGGCUUAAGGUUUAUAUAACUUGCCCAGGGUGACAUAGAUGAUACAGCAGGUUGAGUAGUGGUCCCCAAAAGAUAUGUUCAAUUCCUAAUCCCUAGUGCUUGUGAAUGUGGCCUUAUUUAGAAAUAGGGUCUUUGCAGAUAUCAUUAAGAUAGGAAUCUUGAGAUUUCCUGGAUUUAGGGUGGGUCCUAAAUCCAAUGAUAGGUCUCCUUGUGGAAGAAAGGAGAGGGAGAUUUGCAACACACACCGAGAUGACCAUAUGAAGAUGGAGGCGGAGAUUGGAGUGACACACCUACAAAACAAGCAACAUCAGAGAUUGUUGGCCCCCACUAGAAGCUAGGAGAAAGGCAUGGAAUGGAUUUUCCCUCAGCCUCCAGAAGCAACCAACCCUGCCAAUACCUUGAUUUCAGACUUCUGGCCUCCAGAAGUAUGAGAGAAUAAUUUAUGUUGUUUGAAGCCACCCAGUUUGCGGUCAUUUGUUACAGCGACUCUAAGAAACUAAUACAGCUUGUCAGUGAUGGAAACAACAUUAAACACCAAACAUCAAAGCCUAUGUUUUGAGCCCUAUUCCUUACAGAUCCACUGUAUUGACUAGGCCGAUGCCAUGUGUCUAAUAAAUGUUUAAUAAAUG